GAGCCCGGUGCUCCUCCGGGCCGAGGAGGGCCGGGAGAAGUAAGGGCAGUCACCCGGUCGGGCGCCUUCUGUCACGGAGAUGAGUGCAGACAGGCCGCGGAAGAAGAGCCGCGUCCGCCGGCGAAACUCCGCGCUAAAUGGCGCCGGGAAUCUGAAGCCUCCACACAGCCCGCUCGGGCCCCGCCCCCCGCCGCCCGGGGCGCCCCACCCCCACUCCGCUCGCGGGGCUCUCGCGCAGGCUGUCUCGCCCCGAGACCCUCUGGGACUUGUAGUUGACACCUUGAGGAAUGAACGGGACAGAGCAGGAAGACGCCUACGACUCCCGUGAUGCCCUGCGGUGGCUUAGCCUGAGGCCCCACGGGAGCUGUAGUUCCCUUUGAAACCGCCUCUUCUGGAAGGCGGAUGGGAGCGUCACCGCGGGUCGCUAAGCCUUAUCCUUUAGUGGGCGCUAGCUAGGAAAAGCAUGACUUAGGCAUUAAUUGUGGAAGAAGGGAAGAGAAAAACAGGAGAAGGACUCAGGAAGAGGGGAGAGGCUCCCACCAUGCUGUACUGAGGCGAGAGCGAGCUCUUGGGAUUGCCAUGGAUGGAAAACGAGCUGCUGUGCCUAUUUAAAUACGGUGUCGAGACCGGAGCGUGGGCGGAGAGCCGGGAGGAGCCGGACCCCUCUGCUCCGGCCACAGACUUUGUGCAUAACACUGAUUGGCUGGGGGAGGGGGGAAGCUCCCUUCCAUGGCACUUAAGGCCGCAUCCUGGGCUCCAAGCCCAGGACAGAUCCUCUGACUCGCAGAGACCAGCUGCCCCACUGCAGUCAAGGGUCACAGCGAACUCCGCCCGGAAAAAGCGCACAGCGCGCGGGAGGGGGUGGGUUCGAGAAGAAACAAGGUCUACGUAUCUUUGCGGCUUUUACCACAAACUUGAAGAGGUGCCUGAGUGUGCCCGUGUGAUCGACACCCCGGCUUUGGACGUGAGGCUUUCUCGAAAGCAUCCUCGGGCUCCCUGGACCCCUAGCUCCGCGCAGCCGCCACUCAAGAUGGUGCAGGUGAUGAGCACCAGGGGGCACCCAACGGAGCAGGAAGCCGGACCCAGACGGCGGUUGAAAGUCUUAAGCCCAACGGUAGGAGCGGGAAGCGCUGAAACGUGCGCAACGGCUCCGAGCGCGCGUGCGCUCCGCCCGGGCUCCAGCUCCGGCUCCGGCCCCGCGCCCGCGGCGGACCGGCUCCGGAGCGCACGGGCCGCGCAGCCACACUGGAAGAGUAGCGGUUGGAAGCAGCCGGACGGAAGAUUCGUUAGCGCUUCGUUUCCUAGCAAAUGCCCAAAGCUAGCUGCAUGA
rnacentral:lncRNA from 1 species